CCUACGGGUGGCAGCAGUGGGGAAUAUUGCACAAUGGGGGAAACCCUGAUGCAGCGACGCCGCGUGAGUGAAGAAGUAUUUCGGUAUGUAAAGCUCUAUCAGCAGGGAAGAAAAUGACGGUACCUGACUAAGAAGCCCCGGCUAACUACGUGCCAGCAGCCGCGGUAAUACGUAGGGGGCAAGCGUUAUCCGGAUUUACUGGGUGUAAAGGGAGCGUAGACGGCAGCACAAGUCUGGAGUGAAAUGCCAGGGCUUAACCAUGGAACUGCUUUGGAAACUGUGCAGCUAGAGUGCAGGAGAGGUAAGUGGAAUUCCUAGUGUAGCGGUGAAAUGCGUAGAUAUUAGGAGGAACACCAGUGGCGAAGGCGGCUUACUGGACUGUAACUGACGUUGAGGCUCGAAAGCGUGGGGAGCAAACAGGAUUAGAUACCCUAGUAGUC
rnacentral:rRNA from 1 species